CCUACGGGUGGCAGCAGUGGGGGAUAUUGCACAAUGGGGGAAACCCUGAUGCAGCGACGCCGCGUGAGUGAAGAAGUAUUUCGGUAUGUAAAGCUCUAUCAGCAGGGAAGAAAAUGACAGUACCUGACCAAGAAGCCCCGGCUAACUACGUGCCAGCAGCCGCGGUAAUACGUAGGGGGCAAGCGUUAUCCGGAUUUACUGGGUGUAAAGGGAGCGUAGACGGUUAUGUAAGUCUGGAGUGAAAGCCCGGGGCCCAACCCCGGGACUGCUUUGGAAACUGUGCGGCUGGAGUGCAGGAGAGGUAAGUGGAAUUCCUAGUGUAGCGGUGAAAUGCGUAGAUAUUAGGAGGAACACCAGUGGCGAAGGCGGCUUACUGGACUGUAACUGACGUUGAGGCACGAAAGCGUGGGUAUCAAACAGGAUUAGAUACCCGAGUAGUC
rnacentral:rRNA from 1 species